AUACGUAGGGUGCAAGCGUUAAUCGGAAUUACUGGGCGUAAAGCGUGCGCAGGCGGUUUUGUAAGACAGAGGUGAAAUCCCCGGGCUCAACCUGGGAACUGCCUUUGUGACUGCAAGGCUAGAGUACGGCAGAGGGGGAUGGAAUUCCGCGUGUAGCAGUGAAAUGCGUAGAUAUGCGGAGGAACACCGAUGGCGAAGGCAAUCCCCUGGGCCUGUACUGACGCUCAUGCACGAAAGCGUGGGGAGCAAACAGGAUUAGAUACCCUUGUAGUCCACGCCCUAAACGAUGUCAACUAGUUGUUGGGUCUUCAUUGACUCAGUAACGAAGCUAACGCGUGAAGUUGACCGCCUGGGGAGUACGGCCGCAAGGUUAAAACUCAAAUGAAUUGACGGGG
rnacentral:rRNA from 1 species